rnacentral:rRNA from 1 species
GAAGGGUGCAAGCGUUACUCGGAAUUACUGGGCGUAAAGCGUGCGUAGGUGGUUCGUUAAGUCUGAUGUGAAAGCCCUGGGCUCAACCUGGGAAUGGCAUUGGAUACUGGCGACCUAGAGUGCGGUAGAGGGUAGCGGAAUUCCCGGUGUAGCAGUGAAAUGCGUAGAUAUCGGGAGGAACAUCUGUGGCGAAGGCGGCUACCUGGACCAGCACUGACACUGAGGCACGAAAGCGUGGGGAGCAAACAGGAUUAGAUACCCUGGUAGUCCACGCCCUAAACGAUGCGAACUGGAUGUUGGGUGCAACUUGGCACUCAGUAUCGAAGCUAACGCGUUAAGUUCGCCGCCUGGGAAGUACGGUCGCAAGACUG